rnacentral:rRNA from 1 species
CGGGACGGGUGAGUAACGCGUGGGUAACCUGCCUUGUACUGGGGGACAACAGUUAGAAAUGACUGCUAAUACCGCAUAAGCGCACAGUAUCGCAUGAUACAGUGUGAAAAACUCCGGUGGUGCAAGAUGGACCCGCGUCUGAUUAGCUAGUUGGUAAGGUAACGGCUUACCAAGGCGACGAUCAGUAGCCGACCUGAGAGGGUGACCGGCCACAUUGGGACUGAGACACGGCCCAA